GUCCAGUGUGAAGCUCCAACACACAUCAGAGUCCUGCAGACACAUGGACUUCAUCUUUUGCAGAGGAGUUUAUCCAGUUUAACUUGGCCCAGCUGAUGCCAGCAGCUGCACCAUUCCCACUGGUCACCAAGGUCCUAACCAGCAUACUUCUGUGUUCAGGAAGUCCUGCUCUCAUCUGUUCAGUCUGGUAACUGAAAGUGCAAAGAGGCAAUUAGGUUCACAAUUAGCCCAUUAGCUAGUGCACUAUCAGGGUCAGAUCUAAGUGUUGGCAUGUCCAAGGCUGAGAGGUUGGCCUAUAGAAACAUCUAUCUGUAUUACAUAUUAAAGUAUCUGCCAUGGCUUUUGCCAGUGUUUCUACAUUACCAUCCCGUGUUUGAACUGUAACUUUGCUGGAGAAGAAAGAUGUUUCACAUAAAACAAUAAGGGUUGGCAAGGAUAUCCUAGUCAAAACACAGUGCCUAAUAUACAUGCAAAUAUUUGUGAUUCAGUAAGCCUUUGGAGCAGCAUCACUUUAAGGAAAUCACGUUUGAAAUGCUCCCAAAUUGAGCCAUUAAUGUUUUUAUCCUUAUUGUGCUGUAUGAUUUAUCCUUCAGUGCUCAAGGUAAUGAAGUGUUAACCCACUGUGUGCAAAUGGGAUGGAAGUAGGAAAACAGUUUUCUCUGUUCAUAUUUACACAGCUUGUACUUAUUCUCUUUCAAAGUCAAAAUUGUGGUUAAGAUUAGAAAACACAAAUAUGGCAUUUUAUUGUGCUGAAGGAAGGAGCUGCAACCAAAGUAAACGUGCUGUAAGUUCAUAUUUCAUCGGAAAAGGCUUGAUCAAUAUCUUAUUUUAAUGUAUAAGGUAAUGGGACAUAAAAAGCAUUUAAAGGCCACUUGAAGAACUGUUAUUAUAUACUUUACAUAGCUUGAUACAUGCAUUUAGAGAAAAUGGAGCAUAACACACAUCUUCAAGGUUUUGGAUUUCUAAAGCGUAACUGCAAUGUGAGGAAUUGUUUUCCACGGGUGCCAAUGGCUCUCCCUUGGUGCUGGACAAGCAGCUAUGAAAAGUGAACAUCUCCAUAAGGCCAUGGCCAUGGCAUGAGGAAACCUCUACCACUUUGGCAAACAGCAUACAAGUCCAACGUAGGCCAUAGUAUGUAAAUUAUUUUACUUGAUUUUAGCUUCAAUUUAGCUGGUGUUGAUUGGUGUCAUUGCAUGGGAGCAACCAAACUUUGGCUGCACACAAUGGAGAAAAUGCCAAUGGAACAAACAGAGCUCUCAGAGUUUGUAGUACUGUUCACUUUCAAAACCAUCUACUAUUCAGUAUGAAAAAUAGGCUGCUUUUUGCAUUUUACUUUAUCUUGUAAAUGAGCCUUUUUCCCAUUAAUUAUGGUAGGUUGGGUGUGUGCUGCUCUACCAUAUACAUAUAGUCUUUUGUCAUCAAUUUCUAUUAAAACAACCUUUUAAAGGUAAAAAUAUAUAUCCCUUUGGGGUUCUGCUUAAAUAUUUUAAAGGCAUGCUAUGUUCAAAAUGACAGCUCCGAUAUGUAAUGCAGUUAAUACUUAACAUUUCAAAACUCAACCUUUGUUGUGCAACUUAAGAGAGAACCUGGCAGACAAGAAAAACUUAUUCAUGACCCACUGAAAAAAAGAAUUGAGGAUUUCAGUUCCUUGAUCUUCCACGGAUCUCCUCCAGCCUGGGAAAACCUAAAAAGAUUUACAGCCCACUUUAUAACAUAUUUUCUAUAAAGCUCAGAUUCUGGUUUGGAAAAGUUUUAUCUCUGCUUUCAAUUGCAUUAACCUCAUCUUUCUUUGAGAAUAGGAUUUCUGAGAUACUUCUUUCCAUCUGCAGUAUAGGAACAGGAAUGCUACUUGCCUUCGAUCUAGCCUUGCAUUUUGAAGUUUUACUUUUAUGUUUGUCUGUCACUUUGUAUUUGUAUAGGCCCUUGUACAAUCAGGCAUUCAUCCCUGCUAAACUCUCAUUCUUCAGGUACUGUGCAGUGAAUACGCGUUUGGAAUUAAAAUUAAUUUUGAAUUAAUAGAAAACGAAUUGCAAACUAAAACUUAUCAUACAUUUCAUACAGUAGUGCGUGAAAAUUAAUUAAGAUUAUGAAAAAUAACUAUGUGCUUUCUUGGUAAUGUGGCACUUUAAAUGCAUUUUCGUCAGCUGAAAACAGAACAUUGAAUUGACAAUAAAUAGCUUUCAUUAAUAUCAUUCUAUAUACGUCUUUCAGAAAGUUUAUUAAUUCUAGUGAGCGGUUUAUGCAACUGUGAGCUAACAUGCAACAUUUCCUUCUGUGACAUUUGAAAAAAUCAGAAACUGAAUCCCAAUAACAGCUGCCUCCUCUGCAAUAAACAUCUGUUUGGCACAAAUUUAGUAUUUAUGUUAUGUAUGAUAAAUAUACACACUUGCAUGCAGCAGUCUGACUUUUGCAAUUUGCCACUCAGGUGGAUAAUUGUAUUGUCCUCAUUGGGAUUGUAACAGGGCUACCAGAUGAAUAUCCAGCUGCUUCCAUCCCUUUGAAGGAAAGGAACACAAACCUGCAGCCUUAGCUCCCACCCGUGCUACAGAAGGGGUUCAGCAUUCAGUCUGGUUUAGCAGCAGAUUGGCAAGGUGACAUAACAACUAUUUACGAGUCUAUGUGCUGUCUGAAGUUACUAAGGUAACUAAAUUGCACAGCAGUCUGCUUGGAAGUCCCUAAGAAGAUAAAGUGGUCAGUGCUGCCCCACUUCGAAAACAUCAGCCCUGCUUUCUGAAGAAUAUCGCUGACUGGCUGAAACGUUGCCCAUGCAACAUUCGCUCUUCAGCUGUACUUCUCACAGUGGCUUCAGAUGAAGAAGGAACAAGACCCAGGGAAGUGUUUGGACAUCUGCAUCCUCCAAGUAUAAGACCAACCAGAGCAGCUCCUGUUUGCAUAAGAUUUGUACACCGUUAUCACUGAAAGAAUAAAUAUUUCAACGUGAGAGGGAUCCUCAGCUGGCAAAGCUGUAUCUAACAGAGGGCUGUGAACAAGCUCCAUGCAAUUGAGAAGGAUGUUGGUUGAAACGAACUGGAGGUCUUCCACUUUAACAUGGAUUUUAUGCUUGGUGACAUGCGGACAGCACUGGCACGAGGAUGAUUUCAGUCCCUGAUACAUCAGUAAAAACAAAGGGGUUGUUUAAACUCAGCAUUGAAAUAAAUGAAAUAAAAGCUGAGCUGUUGUCUGGUGUCUUCGUGUACUUGGUGGUUGUUGUUCUAGAAGGGGUAAGGAAGCUGCUGGCAGCACGCAACACAUAGCAAUUUCAACGCUUGAAAGGAGUAAAUAGACGGCAGGAGGGCAGGGGGCCCGAGGCACUUUAAGGCCUUCAGUGCCCCGCCCCAACUGUUAACGAGCUCAUUAACAGCCAUUGCACCUUUCUCCUUUAUACCCAUCCCAGGGCAGUGGGUUUUAGAGGGAGUAGAGAUUAUCUCGCCGUGAAGAGCUGUGUUCUUUGACGGGUGGCUGCCCGGGAGCCCAGGUAGGCUUAUAUGAAACUGGGGGGGGUCCCCUGAGCUCAGCGUGGGGUGGGAUGGUGGUCUCUUGUAGUGGUGUUUGGUGAGCAAUCGGAUGGCUUUUGGUUUCGAACCCUGAUGGAGUUAAUGCAGCAAAGUGUGUGAAAGUAAAUAACUCCUGGCUAUAGAAAAAAAAAAAGUGCCGGUCCGAUGUGGGUUCCUGCGUCAUUGAGUGUCUGGGUGCUGGAAAACGAAAAGCACAACGCGCUUGUCUGAAAAGGACGAAUGAAGGGAAAAUGUCUCUUAGGAUGCUUGAGUGGGAAGAUGUUACAAGCCAUUAUCUGGUGUGUCUGAACUCCUUUCUGCGCGUGGGAGGGCGUAUUUGUGAAGCGGUACGGGAUAGUCAAUAAAACCUACGCAAACA